AGACAAACGAGACAUGUAGAACCUCCUGUCAGUCUCCAUGGAUGGACUGAACGUGAAUUGGAAGUUAUACGGCCGUCUCGAGCACGAGCAAGCAGAUCAGUAUGGUACUCAGCUAGUUGAUGUGGGGAGCUGUGGCCUUCACACCCUCCAUAAUGCUUUCAAGUCUGGUUUCUCCAUGUGGCAUCUGGAUAAACAACUGAGGGCAAUGCACUACCUCUUCCACAAUGUGCCAGCAAGGAGAGAGGAUUUCACUACUGUCACCAAGUCAUCUCUCUUUCCACUACCAUUCUGUGGCCACAGGUGGAUUGAAAACCUUCCUGUAGCACAGCGAGCUAUAGAUGUUUGGCCAGCACUUCUCAAGUAUGUGGAUGCUUCCAAAGUGCUUCCAAAUCCUGGAACAGUGUCACUUGAGACAAUCGAAACAGCCCAGAAAGACCACUUCAUCUUGGCAAAACUGCACUUCUUCAUGGCUGUGUCAAGGACUUUUGACCCCUUUCUGACAAAGUACCAAACUGAUGAACCACUGAUGCCAUUCCUUGGCAAUGAUUUGGCUGAAGACUCUGUUGAGACGGUUUUUCAAAGAGCUGCUGAAGAACGUCUCUAGCCUGCAACUGAUCAAACUGGAUGUUGCAGACGAGAAGAAGUGGGUUCAUCCAAAUGAUGCCGACAUAGGCUUGGGAGCUGAGACUGUCAUCAAGGAAGUGCAAUAAUUUUCAAAAUCGUUUUGCCAAGAGUAGGGUUGGAUCAUGCAUUUAUUUUUACUUGUGCCAUUCAUUACUGAUCUUGGACAUUCUUUUCAGGAACUCCAGUGCAAACCGAACAGUGUAAGCGAUCUGUCUAUCCUGGUGUUUAGGAAGGAGUGCAUGAAGGGUAUUUGUAAUAUCAUCAAGAAAGUACAGGAGAAGAGCCCCAUGAAGUAUUCCACUGUUGUACAGAUGGCAUGCUCGAACCCAAAUGACAUGUACAUGUACAAGGAGCCAGAGUUGUGCACCAAAAAGAUGAAAUACCAAGUACAAAGAUUUCUUCAGGACAAACACUUGGCAAGAGGGGUUUCAGUUGGGGACGUGAUACUUCAACAAUUCGAGAAGUUGCUUUCACUUGAGAGUAGGACUGAGCACUUCCAGUCAUUCCAGCCCCCAAACAAGAGACUGGAUGAGUUCCUGCAUGAAGUUGUCAGUCAACCGCACCCUGAGCUGUGGGCGUAAACCCUAACACUCCUCAGUCCUCCAACAGGUGAAGGAUUGAGGAGUGUUAGGGUUAUGUAUGAAGCUCCUGCUUCUGUCUCAUGGACAAGCAACUGUUGAGCGGGGCUUCUCCAUCAAUAAGGAAGUGGAGACAUUUAAUACGCAGGAGGAAACUGUUGAAGCCCAGAGAUUGGUCUGUGACCAUGUCAGAAUAUGUGGCGGGGUUCUCAAGGUCCCUCUGACAAAGGAACUCCUUUGUGCUGCAGUUUCAGCUAGAUCAAGGUACAGGGAUUACCUAGACAGUGAGAAGAAGAAGAAAGGAAAUGCUGUGCAAGUGCAGAAAGGAAAGCAGGUGAAGGUGACUUACAGGAAAUGAAGAAGAGAAAGCAGAUUCUUGUUGAAGUGUGAACCAGCAAAAAGCUUGCUGAACAGGCGGAGGGCAAAUAUGUAAGUCUAAUGGCUCAGUUGAUCACAAAAUCCAACACAUUAAGGAUCAGAUGUAAGGACAAAUCCAAAGAGUUGAAACAAAUCGAGUUGAAACAAAUGGACAGAAAAGCAAAUGGAAUCAGGUGUAGGCCUAUGCCUUGAAAUGUGCAGUUUUACCAGUGGAUGUGACAUAGCAAAAUGGCCCUAUUUUUGUGAAGGAGAAAGGGAGGUGUUAAAGAUGUGGAAGGAUUUCAGGGUAAGAACAGUGGCAGAUUCAGCUUUAUAUCGUAACUUUCUCUUAAGGGACUGUCAGUUAAAGCCCACUUUCAUUCUCAAGAAAAUAACGUGUGAAUGCAUGUAUUAUUAUUAAACAUGGAAUGAUUCCAUAUGAACCAAAAGAAGUCUGUCGUUUACUUUUGUCUGCCAAACAUAUUUAAAGUUCAUAAACUUCAUUCGUCAUAUGCUUUAUGCAAAUAAAAUUGGUCUUAAAUUGCCACUAAGGGAGGCAUUAAAAGGUCGUAAAAAGCCUUAAAUUUAACUAUCCUAAAGCUGCAGAUACCCUGUCCCUACAGUGACCAUUUGCUGUCAGAAAACAAAAUCUUGUCCAGAAAAGUUCAAUUUUGGAGAGAAAAUACCAAGUCGUUUACUGAGAAAACACUUAGAAUUUUCAGACCAGUCUCAUAGGUUUUAUUCUUUAUGUUGAGUGGCGUUUGUAUAUGGAACUCUUUCCCAACUUUUAAGUACUACUCCGUCAUGCCCUGACUCUGAGCCAAUGUAAUUUACAUGGAGUCGUAAUGCGAUGGUUUUUUUUUUUAUCAUACUUGAGAGUGAAUGAUCUGGCCCAUAUCUACUGGUGGAACAAAGCUGUUCAAUCAAGUUUUCCCUUGACAGCAAACUUGAGUAACCUAGCUCUUAAAUUAUCCC